AGCCUAUGUGUAAAACAGCCAUUAAUUUUUUGGGUUAUUCCUAUCGCAUGUCUUGGAGGAUCCAUACAGAGAAAGGUAAAAAUGUAUUUCUUGCCUAGAAAGUUAUUGAGAUAGAUUCAAGCUAAGGUGCCUGGAAUUUCUGUGAGAUGCCUUGUGGCAUGAUACAAGCAUGCUGUUUAUCUUUCUGUGGGACUGAAUAUUAUCAUGGUGCUCUUCAGCUUGUUCUAGAGAGGAAAUGUGCAAGCAAGGAAGCCAGGAACCCAGCAUACAGGAGUCAAAACCAUUUUACAUCAGAACGGUAUGGGAGAAAGUGGAGGAUUCAUGGAUUUUAAGACCUGUUUAAUUUGAUCUCAAAGAAGAUUUAAGAGAGAUCAUGUGAGCUUCCUAAUAUUUCAUAGGAAGUCUGUGGCAGAAGGCUGGAAUUCCUGAGAUCUGAGUCAAUGCUUUAACAACAUGCUUAUUUUUUACGUCUUAUGCCCCUCUGUUGCCUCCUCUAGUAAUAAAGCUAUGUGCCACUUUAUAUUCUGAGCCA
rnacentral:lncRNA from 1 species